rnacentral:rRNA from 1 species
CCUACGGGUGGCUGCAGUCGGGAAUCUUUGGCAAUGGGCGCAACCCUGAUCCAGCAACGCCGCGUGAAGGAAGAAGGCUUUCGGGUUGUAAACUUCUUUUCUCAGGGACGAAGCAAGUGACGGUACCUGAGGAAUAAGCCACGGCUAACUACGUUCUAGCAGCCGCGGUGAUACGUAGGUGGCAAGCGUUAUCCGGAUGUACUGGGUGUAAAGGGCGUGGAGGCGGGGAUGUAAGGCCGCUGUGAAAACCACGGGCUCAACCUGUGGCCUGCAUUUGAGACUGUGUUACUUGAGUAAUGGAGAGGGAGACGGAAUUCCUAGUGUAGCGGUGAAAUGCGUAGAUAUCGGGAGGAACACUAGUGGCGAAGGCGGGCUUCUGGACAGCAACUGACGCUGAGGCGCGAAAGCGUGGGGAGCGAACGGGAUUAGAUACCCGAGUAGUC